AGGUCAGCGGGGCUACCCGCUGAUUUAAGCAUAUCAUAAGC
rnacentral:rRNA from 1 species